UGAUUAGAGAUCCCAUGAAUGAGAUUCAAUAUGGUAGAAAUGAAGCUGAUUAAGUGAUCUUACCAGAGCAUAUUCUCAUAUUAUAUUUCCUCUCAUCCCAAUGGUAAGUGUUCUUAUCAGUGACAAAGAAAAAUUAAAAAGAUUGAGUUAUGCUCUUAAUAAGUCCAAGAUAGGAAAUCUUUAGGGUGUUAGGUCAUAAAUAUCCUUAGAGGACUUAUCUAUGUGAGAAUUAUUGUAUAGGCUAUGACUAGGGUUUUGGGAUAAUCCUAGCAAAAUUCUCAUAAAAAAUCAAUAUACUAAGCGCA
rnacentral:lncRNA from 1 species